AAGAAGAGGAAGCCAAUGAGGAGGAGAUUGAGACGAUUUAGAUUUAAAAUGGAAGACUGGGUGGGAGAGACUGCGAGAGUGGAAGUGAAGCUAAUCAGUUUUGGUGGUGCCACUGCCACCCGUCGCCCAUUUAGCGGUGCAGGAAAGGAUCCGAACUCAGAUAGAUUAAGCCCAAUCUAUAAAGUCAACACUUUAAAUCUCACCAAGGCCUCACUGUAAUCUAACCGGUGGUGGACAUGGCGGAGGCGGAGCAGUCAGCGGUGGUAGAUGAGGAGGAGGAGGAGGUGCGGUUGUAUAUGGAAGGUGGGGCUGCGCAGGUGGUGAAAGGGCUGAAGGGGAAGGGGGUGCCAGUUUACGUGAUGAUGCCGUUAGAUAGUGUCACGGCGAACAACGGUGUGAACAAGAGGGAGGCCAUGAAUGCGAACAUGCAGGAGCUAAAGAAAGCCCGGGUGGAAGGGGUGAUGAUGGACGUGUGGUGGGGUUUGGUGGAAAGAGAUGCUCCUGGAUCUUACAACUGGGGUGGCUACACCGAGUUGCUUGAGAUGGCCAGGAACCAUGGCCUCAAGGUCCAGGCCGUCAUGUCCUUCCACCAGUGCGGUGGCAACGUUGGUGACUCUUGCACGAUACCGUUACCCAAGUGGGUGGUGGAGGAGAUGGACAAAGAUCAGGAUCUGGCGUACACAGAUCAAGUGGGUAGAAGGAACUACGAGUACGUCUCCCUCGGCUGCGACGCCCUUCCUGUUCUCAAGGGCCGUACGCCUGUCCAGUGCUACUCCGAUUUCAUGCGUUCUUUCAGGGAUAACUUCAAACACCUUCUAGGCAACACGAUCGUCGAGAUACAAGUUGGGAUGGGUCCAGCAGGGGAGCUCCGAUAUCCAUCGUACCCAGAGCUUAACGGGACAUGGAAAUUCCCUGGAAUUGGAGCUUUCCAAUGCUACGACAAGUACAUGCUCAGUAGCUUGAAAGCUGCAGCUGAAGCUUCCGGGAAACCAGAGUGGGGGAACGGAGGCCCUACAGAUGCAGGAGACUACAACAAUUGGCCUGAAGACACCCUGUUUUUCAGCAGAGAAGGCGGAGGUUGGAACAGCUCUUACGGCGAAUUCUUCCUCUCUUGGUACUCUGAAAUGCUUUUGAGCCACGGAGAGCGGAUACUAUCAUCAGCCCAGUCAAUUUUCAAUGAUGCAGGCGUCAAGAUCUCUGUAAAAAUCGCAGGCAUCCAUUGGCACUACGGAACCCGAGCCCACCCACCAGAGCUCACCGCAGGGUACUACAACACCCGCUACAGAGACGGCUACAUACCCAUCGCACGAAUGCUAUCACGCCACGGCGCAAUUUUCAACUUCACCUGCAUCGAGAUGCGCGAUCAAGAGCAGCCCCAGGACGCUCGGUGUGCGCCCGAGAAGCUUGUUCGGCAAGUGGCUUUGGCGACUAGAGAGGCUAAUGUGCCUCUUGCAGGGGAGAACGCCUUGCCGCGGUAUGAUGAGUAUGCAUAUGAGCAGAUACUGCGCGCAUCGUCGUUGAAUCUUGAUGGUGAUGAUGGAGGCAGGAAGGGAGAGGAGCAAGAGAUGUGUGCUUUCACGUAUUUGAGAAUGGACCCGCAGCUGUUUCAGGAGGAUAACUGGAGGAGGUUUGUUGGGUUUGUGAAGAAGAUGAGGAAAGACUGAACGCCAGGUUUACAGUCAACCCUCGUUGUCGGACUAGGCAGCAUAAUGGUGAAAUAACAAGUGUGGUUGGAGGACAAAGAGAAAACGCCCUUGGGACAUGGUAUUAUGCAUAUAUAGUUUCCCAAUUACCGUUUCUGCACUCCAGGGACCAGUUGAUGAGAAAUAUUGUAUCUGUGGCUAAUGAAUGAAGAGGGAGAUGCAAUGAAGGAUGCAAUGGCAAAAGGAUUGAACUCAGUUCUAAUAGUCCUGCUUCUUCUUGUAGGCAUAUUAUUGGUUUUACAUUGUUGGAAAUUAUCUAUGUUGACUGCUACAUUAAGAUUUUCCCUUUGUUGAUGCUUUUGGAGUUGAAGCCUGGUUGCAGCCUCUACUUGGAGAGCAGGCGCCAGGAGUGGGGAAGGUCUAAGGAUCGACUCCUGUCACAUGCAUCCCCCCCCCUCUUUCCCUCUAGUGUUUAUGAUUUAUAGACAUUAAAAAAAAUAAGGGGACUGAACUCCAAGGCCAUGAGCUUAGUGUUGGCGUUCUUAACCAGCCAAUAAUUAAUUUUCCUUUA